rnacentral:rRNA from 1 species
UGUGGGAAUUGCUGGAGAUACGUAUUAGGACUUGAGACCGGGAGAGGUUAGAGGUACUCCCAGGGUAGAGGUGAAAUUCUGGUAAUCCUGGGAGGACCGCCUGUUGCGAAGGCGUCUAACUGGAACGGUUCUGACGGUGAGGGACGAAAGUUAGGGGCGCGAACCGGAUUAGAUACCCGGGUAGUCCUAACUGUAACGAUGCGGACUUGGUGUUGGGUGGCUUUGAACUGCUCCAGUGCCGAAGGGAAGCUGUUAAGUCCGCCGCCUGGGAAGUACGGUCGCAAGACUGAACUUAAGGAAUUGGCGGGGGAGCACCACAACGCGUGGAGCCUGCCGGUUUAAUUGGAUUCAACGCCGGACAUCUCACCAGAGGCGACAGCUGUAUGAUAGCCAGGUUGAUGACUUUGCUUGACUAGCUGAGAAGAGGUGCAUGG